rnacentral:rRNA from 1 species
GAUGAACGCUAGCGGGAGGCCUAACACAUGCAAGCCGAGCGGUAUUGUUUCUUCGGAAAUGAGAGAGCGGCGUACGGGUGCGGAACACGUGUGCAACCUGCCUUUAUCUGGAGGAUAGCCUUUCGAAAGGAAGAUUAAUACUCCAUAAUAUAUUAAUUGGCAUCAAUUGAUAUUGAAAAAUCCGGUGGAUAGAGAUGGGCACGCGCAAGAUUAGCUAGUUGGUGAGGUAACGGCUCACCAAGGCAAUGAUCUUUAGGGGGCCUGAGAGGGUGAUCCCCCACACUGGUACUGAGACACGGACCAGACUCCUACGGGAGGCCGCGCUGAGGAAUAUUGGUCAAUGGGUGCCCUCCUUCGCCAGCCAUCCCGCGUGAAGGAUUAAGGUCCUAUGGCUUCUCCUCUUCUUUUGUGUCGGGCUGCCCCUCCCCUCGUGAGGGUAGCUGAAGGUACUAUACGAAUCCGCACCGGCUAACUCCGUGCCAGCCGCCGCGGUAACCC